rnacentral:lncRNA from 10 species
UAAAAGUGAUACUUGGUGGUGGGAAGAAUCAGAAGUAGGGUUUAUGGGCUGGGUGCGGUGGCUCAUGCCUGUAAUCCCAGCACUUUGGAAGGCUUUGGCGGGUGGAUCACUUGAGGUCAGGAGUUCAAGACCAGCCUAGCCAACAUGGCAAAACCCCAUCUCUACAAAAAUUAGCCAAGUGUGGUGGCGGGCACCUGUAAUCCCAGCUACUUGGGAGGCUGAGGCAGGAGAAUUGCUUGAGCUCAGGAGGUGGAGGUUGCAGUGAGCCGAGACUGCGUCACUAUACUCCAGCCUGGGUGACAGAGUGAGACUCCAUCAGAAAAAAGAAAAAAAAAAGGAAGAAAAAAUGAAGUAGGGUUUAUGGAUCCGGAAGAAGGCCUCAGUUAAUAGAAAGUAGCUGAGAUUGAAUUAGUAACUGCCCCAAGUUGGUCCUCGAUUAUUUUUUCAAGUUGCUUUAUUUUACUAGCUUCUGAAAGUUUGUUUCUUCCCAAACCUUUCUCUUAUAAACCCUCAUCCAAGGUUUUCAGAACAACAGGUUCUGAUUUUUCCUUAUUCAUUUAGCGAACAUUUUAAAGUGGCUAAUUCAGUUAUGUCUGGGAUGUUUUAAUCCUCCAAGGGGUUGAGCUGGGAGAGCCCCCAAGCCAAGGAUUAGUAACACUACUGGGUAGGCGAGUGCAUGGCCCUUUCUGUCUUAUGCCAGAUAAAAGUGACUCUCCCUUUGUCUUUGUUUUAUUUUAAAUCCAGCCUCAUGAUGAUCCUGAGACUUGUCUUGUUGCUGCUCUGAGCAUCUGGAGGAACAGAAAACUAAGUUCAUGUCAUCCUGCUGUAAUGGGCAGAGCAUAUUUUUUUUGUAUUUAAAAGAUAAACUUCAAUAUGGAAUGCUAGAAACACAAAUAGCACUGUCACCUCUAAUAUGAACAUUAGUUUGAGGUAGUUUUUUUCUAAAGCAAAAAUUUUAACUGUUUUCUAAUUGUCAAGCACUAUUUUCAUUAAAAGUGUCUAAUGAAUCAUGAUAUACUCUUCCAUUUGUUGUGUCUAUUUUUUAUAUAUUUGGUAUUUUUUGAAAAUUCCAAAUACUCAUGUCUCAGGUGCUCUGCUCACUUGCUAGCUGUCAGAGAUGACUGAGGAGAACCUUCAGAUUCAGACUGACAGCAGCUUAUAGUCAAAACUGAUUACGAUACUGAAGUAGAAACUAACUGUGAAAUUGAUCCUAGAAAUACAUGCUGUGUCUGCAGAAUACUCUAGUGAUUCAAAGUUUAAGAAACUGGUUUGAAGCUAUGCUGUUCCCUGGACUUUUCCCAAAAGGUCAUAGAAGUGAAUGAGUAGCAGAGGAAAGCCCAAGAGGACACUGGGUUUGCACUCUUCAGUCAUUAAGAUGACUUCAGGUUGCUGUGUAUCAGCCCAGCUCAGCCGAUUGCCCACAAGAAAAUCUUGUCUGUGGUCUCUCAGUGCCUGCAUGAUGGUUAAUAAGGAAAAGGUAGAAGAUGAAGGACACACCUAACAUAUAAUUUAAAGUCAGCUUGAUUUGGCAGAAAGUCUUCUAGAAGUUAAGAGACCUGGCUUCUAAUCUGUUCUUUGCCACUGACUAGCUGUGUGAGCUCACGCAAACCCCAUUUCUCUUGGGCUUCGUGAGGUGAAAGGAAUGGAAUAGCUUAAACCCUCCUGACUUAUUCUGAACAUAGGAAACAGCUUUAUCUCAUGUGCUUGUCUUCUUUUCAUCUCCUCUCCCUGUAGCUAUCCCGUGAACCUCUGUAGAGUGAUUUUAGCACCGACCCUCCAUUGGUGGCUCUUCCUGGGCUGAUGGUAUUUCUACUUGCACCAUCUCAGGGUGGAUUCUUGAGGUGUGCUGCUCUUCGGAAGGUACUGUGUUUGCAGGGAGAGUGUCAUUCUCAGAGGGACCCAACCCUCAUUUUUAUAAGCGAAUUUUCUUCAAAUAGGGCUGUAAAUUAUGGGUCACUUUGAGUCAAAAUUGAUCAAAUACAAAAUGAAAUGUAAGUUUGGAGGAGGUGGUCACUAAGGUACAUUCUAGGCCAUAGACUUCAUGAUGUUUUGAUACUUGGGCAUAGGAUCAGGACCUAGAGAGACCUGAGUACAGGUUCCAGCUUUAUUAGUUGUAUGACACUGGGCAGGUUACGUUGCUUCUUUAAGAUAUAGUUGCUUCACCUGUAAAUGAGGAAAUAAUUUAUCCUUAUUUACAGAUGAAGCAACCACAUAGUAUCUUGUGGAGUUAUUAUAAAGAUUAAAUGGAUUAAUGCAUGCGAAUCAUAUAGCACAGCACUUGGCACUCAGUAAAGGUGAGCCAUUAUUAUUAUUAGCACUGUUGUUAGUGCAGUUACAGUCACAUUUUUAGUUAUGAGAAGUCUGCACUUCAUAGUAUCUUACAACAAAAACUUCAUGCAUUAGUUUACCACAUGGUGGUGGUAAACAUUCACUCUGUUGUCAGUA